rnacentral:lncRNA from 1 species
GUGUGCUGGGAUCCUGUGGAUUGGUGGGAUUCUCUGAGCCUUCAUUCUUCAACUUCAGACCUUGAAAGAGAAUUCUGCACUGCUGCCAGGGAUUUCUAUUUUAUGCAGAUGUAAUGAGAAUUUUAGAAGAGAGACAGGAGAGAGGAGGAAAGGAGAAAAAAAAAGGAAGAGAGGGGAAAGAAGAAGGAAGAAUAUAAAUGGAGAGAGGGAGGAAGAACAGAGCACAUAGAGAAAGCAGGAUUUUUAUUCUCAUUCAACCACCAUUAUAAGACCCUUUGUUCCCUUUUUAAAAGAAAAAACCUAACAAUUAAAAUAGAAAGAAAGUGCGAUCCCAGGAUUUGCAUGAGGAGGGCGUUAGGCCACGUCAAUCUUGGAUGGCGUGCAUGAAUCCAAUUUCAAAAGGCUUCUCGUGAAAAAAUCUGGAUGUGCGAUCUCCAAUUUUCGUGCACAUAAAUCUGGGCGUGCGAUCUCCAAUUUUCGUGUGCAUGUGAAGAAAUCUAGACAUGGGUCUUCAAGGUGGCAUACCUCAUGAGAAUACUUCCCCAAAUGACUGGCUUGAACUAGGACUUAAAUAUAAAUCAAACCCAAUUUAAGGAUCCGAUUACAAUCCCAUUAUAGGACUCAAAAAAUAAAAGACUCUGAUCAACAAUUGAGCCAUAAUGAAUCAUGGUGACUGGUGUCCGCAUCAGAUUUUCCUACGAUCAGAGCUGUUACAUUAUUAUUGGGCGGAUCAUCUUCAUCAUUGUUACUGUUCUCAUCAAACCAUUCUUCUUCAGCCUUAUUCUUAUCUAACUUAAAACUUCGGCUAUCAGAAUUUAUUCCAGUGCUAAUCCAAUCAUCAUCCCCCAUUUGAGUGUUAUGUCCCGCACCUACUACUUCUUCCACCAUAGGACUUUGCAUAAUUGGACAACUAAGACCAACAGUAUCAUAAUGUUGUUCUGCAAAUAAGGCC